AAAAUAGGUAGGGUUUCUCCAAGUUGACAUUCCAAAUUCAGCAGAGGAUGGCAUGAACGACGACUCAACACCAUCAGAAACCCUCGGCACAAAUUGCCCUGUACGAUCAGAAUAAAACCGCGCCAUCGUGGAGUCUCCCAGACCACCAUAGUCUUGAUUAAACUAGUAGUAACACCUCUAAGCACGGUGACCAUAAUGGCUACAGAUUUGGCACUGCACUCGAGGGCGAAACCUACAGCCACGUGAGGCAGAGGAGAGACGGCCACCACGUCCAGAUCGGAGAUCCGACUCAGCCACUGCCAUAGCCAAAGAUGCUUCAGUCAAGUUGGCAUGCAUUGGCAGAUCUUGAACGGCAUGCGUCUGACGAGACUCGAACUCUAGAAGAACGUCAACCAAACGCUGAUAUUGAAGAGUUUCUGGCGAGAAAGAUGCAAAGGCUAAAACCGCAUCAAAUUCAGACGGAUGGUCGGCAAGAAUAACUUCAACUUUUUCAGCCUCCGAAACGACGAACCCAGAGGCUUCAAGCAACGCACAAAGAUUCUGAAUCUUGGCAAAAAACUCAGAUACAGGUGACGUUCCUUUCUUUAACGAAUGUAAUUCAUGCUUUAUUCUUGAAACUCUAGCACCAGUAGAUGCAGCAAACAUGCGAUUGGCAGUUAGCCAAAUAUCACAGGCUGACUUAGCAGGAGUAAAAGAAGAUAACAACGAAACAUGAAUAGUAGACAGUAACCAUGAGGCUAAGAGCUUAUCUUGUUGAAGAAAAGCAGCCACAUCAGGAUUAGCAAUCAGUGUGCCAUCCGGAGAGGCCACAAACCGAUACGGAGUAGGUAGAGUACCAUCCAAAAACCCUUGCAAUUCAUAUCCUUCGGUAAUUAAUUUGAUAUGUUGCUGCCAUUGUACAAAGUUUUUCUCAUCGAGCUUCACCGUGUCAUGACGAGGGAACACUUGAACCAAUCGUGAACUCGAGAACGACGGAUUAGAAGGAUUAACAGAUGCAGAAUCUUGCGAAUGAGCCAUCAAACAACAGCGGUCACUAGCACCAGUACGAACAAAGCGACUGAUACCAUGUAAAGUGCUUAGAAAUAGAGAUAUUAGUUAGAGACUAACUAACAAAAUGCUGAUAAUAGAAUAAGGCUAGUUUGGAUGGGCGGUGUUUUUACCGGUGAGGUUAAAAAUUGCGGUGGCGGUGAGAUUAAUUACUAUAGCGGUGAGAUUGGAUAUUCUAACAGUGAGAUUAGAAAUAGUGGUGGAGUGUGUGUUUGGAUUCAAACGUAGCUGUAACGAUGAGGUGAGAAUAAAAAAUGACUAUUAAGACAUCAGAUUAGAAUUGAUAUAUAAUAGAAGUUUUUUAAAUUAUUUUAUUUUUUUAAAAUUAUUAUGUAUCUUCUAAUAUUUUAAUAAAUUAUAUAAUUAAUUUAAAUUAUUUAUUAGAUAAAAUGAUAAUUAUUUUUAAUUUUUUAUAGUUAAAUAUUUUUUUAUAGCCGAGUGGUCA
rnacentral:lncRNA from 1 species